UACGAAGGGGGCUAGCGUUGCUCGGAAUGACUGGGCGUAAAGGGCGCGUAGGCGGUUUGGACAGUCAGAUGUGAAAUUCCUGGGCUCAACCUGGGGGCUGCAUUUGAUACGUUCGGACUAGAGUGGGGAAGAGGGUCGUGGAAUUCCCAGUGUAGAGGUGAAAUUCGUAGAUAUUGGGAGGAACACCCGUGGCGAAGGCGGCUCUCUGGGACGGUACUGACGCUGAGACGCGAAAGCGUGGGGAGCGAACAGG
rnacentral:rRNA from 1 species